rnacentral:rRNA from 1 species
GUGCUUAACACAUGCAAGCCGAACGAAAAGAGGGAACGUGCUUGCUCUUUCCGGAAUUGAGUGGCAAACGGGUGAGUAACACGUAAACAACCUGCCUUCAGGAUGGGGACAACAGACGGAAACGACUGCUAAUACCGAAUAAGUUCCAAGAGCCGCAUGGCCCAUGGAAGAAAAGGUGGCCUCUACCUGUAAGCUAUCGCCUGAAGAGGGGUUUGCGUCUGAUUAGCUGGUUGGAGGGGUAACGGCCCACCAAGGCGACGAUCAGUAGCCGGUCUGAGAGGAUGAACGGCCACACUGGAACUGAGACACGGUCCAGACUCCUACGGGAGGCAGCAGUGGGGAAUCUUCCGCAAUGGGCGAAAGCCUGACGGAGCAACGCCGCGUGAGUGAUGACGGCCUUCGGGUUGUAAAACUCUGUGAUCCGGGACGAAAAGGCAGAGUGCGAAGAACAAACUGCAUUGACGGUACCGGAAAAGCAAGCCACGGCUAACUACGUGCCAGCAGCCGCGGUAAUACGUAGGUGGCAAGCGUUGUCCGGAAUUAUUGGGCGUAAAGCGCGCGCAGGCGGCUUCCCAAGUCCCUCUUAAAAGUGCGGGGCUUAACCCCGUGAUGGGAAGGAAACUGGGAAGCUGGAGUAUCGGAAAGGAAAGUGGAAUUCCUAGUGUAGCG